rnacentral:rRNA from 1 species
UUAUUGGAGGAUUUGAUCCUGGUCCAGGAUGAACGCUGGCGGCGUGGAUAAGGCAUGCAAGUCGAACGGUUGUUUAUUACUUAGCAAUAAGUAAUAAACGAUAGUGGCGAACGAGUUAGUAACACCUUGGUACAUACCCUGAAGAUGGGAAUAGCUCACCGAAAGGUGGGGUAAUACCCAAUACGAUCGCAAGAUGAAAGUCGCAAGACGCUUUAGGAUUGGCCUAGGCCCGAUCAGCUAGUUGGUGAGGUAAUGGCUCACCAAGGCUACGACCGGUAGGGGAGCUGAGAGGCUGUUCCCCAACGACGCAACUGAGACACGGUGCGUACUCCUACGGGAGGCAGCAGUCGAGAAUAUUCCACAAUGGGCGAAAGCCUGAUGGAGCGACGCCGCGUGCAGGAUGAAGGUCUUAGGAUUGUAAACUGCUUUUCUAUGGGAAGAAGCUACAUUAGUAGUGUGACGGUACCAUAGGAAUAAGGGGCUGCAAACUUCGUGCCAGCAGCCGCGGUAAUACGAAGGCCCCGAGCGUUAUCCGGAUUUAUUGGGCGUAAAGGGCGCGUAGGCGGCUUGGUGCGUCUCAUGUUAAAUCUCACUGCUCAACGGUGAAAUCGCAUGAGAUACGAUCAAGCUUGAGAGUGUUAGAGGUAGAUGGAACUCAUGGUGUAGGGGUGACAUCCGUUGAUAUCAUGGGGAACACCAAAGGCGAAGGCAUUCUACUGGGACAUUUCUGACGCUGAGGCGCGAAAGCGUGGGGAGCAAAAAGGAUUAGAUACCCUUGUAGUCCACGCCCUAAACGAUGAUCACUAGCUGUCUCGAGUAUCGACCCUCGGGGUGGCGAAGCUAACGCGUUAAGUGAUCCGCCUGGGAAGUACGGCCGCAAGGCUAAAACUCAAAGGAAUAGACGGGGACUCGCACAAGCGGUGGAGCAUGUGGUUUAAUUCGACGGUAAACGAGAAACCUUACCAAGGCUUGAAAUUCAAACGAAAGGUGUCCGAAAGGAUAUCCCUCUCACAAGGACGUUUGGACAGGUGCUGCAUGGUUGCCGUCAGCUCGUGUCGUGAGACGUUCCCUUAAGUGGGGUAACGAGCGCAACCCCUGUCCUGUGUUAUAUGUGUCACAGGAGACUGCCAUCUUAUAGAUGGAGGAAGGCGGGGACGACGUCAAAUCAGCAUGGCCCUCUGACGCCUUGGGCUACACACAUGCUACAAUGGUGGGUACAACGGGUUGCCAAAUCGCAAGAUGGAGCCAAUCCUUCAAAACCCACCCCAGUUCAGAUUGAGGGCUGCAACUCGCCCUCAUGAAGUCGGAAUCGCUAGUAAUCGCGGAUCAGCAGGCCGCGGUGAAUACGUUCUCGAGUCCUGUACUCACUGCCCGUCACGUCAAGGGAGCCGGUACUACCUGAAGUUUCGUGAAGGAAUCAGGGUAAGAUCGGUGACAUGGACGAAGUCGUAACAAGGCACGGGUAGCGGAAGCUGCUCGUGGAU